GUUCGGUUAAGUCCGGCAACGAGCGCAACCCACACUCUUAGUUGCCAGCAUUCAGUUGGGCACUCUAGGAGAACUGCCGGUGAUAAGCCGGAGGAAGGUGUGGAUGACGUCAAGUCCUCAUGGCCCUUACGGGUUGGGCUACACACGUGCUACAAUGGUGGUGACAAUGGGUUAAUCCCAAAAAGCCAUCUCAGUUCGGAUUGGGGUCUGCAACUCGACCCCAUGAAGUCGGAAUCGCUAGUAAUCGCGUAACAGCAUGACGCGGUGAAUACGUUCCCGGGCCUUGUACACACCGCCCGUCACACCAUGGGAAUUGGGUCUACCCGAAGGCGGUGCGCCAACCAGCAAUGGAGGCAGCCGACCACGGUAGGCUCAGUGACUGGGGUGAAGUCGUAACAAGGUAACC
rnacentral:rRNA from 1 species